UUCGCAAUGCCCGAAAGGGUGAACGAGCGACGCCGCGUGCGGGAUGAAGGGUUUCGGCUUGUAAACCGCUUUCGCAAUGCCCGAAAGGGUCUGACCUAUCCCUGGAGGAAGCACGGGCUAAGUUCGUGCCAGCAGCCGCGGUAAGACGAACCGUGCGAACGUUAUUCGGAAUCAUUGGGCUUAAAGGGCGCGUAGGCGGAGCGACGCGUCGGCGUUGAAAGCCCCCGGCUCAACCGGGGAACCGGCGCCGAAACGGCCGCGUCUCGAGGCGAGAAGAGGGACCUGGAACUUCCGGUGGAGCGGUGAAAUGCGUUGAGAUCGGACGGAACACCAGCGGCGAAAGCGAGGUCCUGGGCUCGUACUGACGCUGAGGCGCGAAAGCCAGGGGAGCGAACGGGAUUAGAUACCCCGGUAGUCCUGGCCGUAAGCGAUGGGCACUAAGUAGAGGGGUUUU
rnacentral:rRNA from 1 species